AUGAAGUCGGAAUUGCUAGUAAUGGCAGGUCAGCAUACUGCCGUGAAUACGUUCCCGGGCCUUGUACACACCGCCCGUCACACCAUGAGAGUUGGGAAUACCCGAGGCCUGUGAGCUAACUUUUAGAGGCAGCAGUCGAAGGUAGAAUCAAUGAUUGGGGUGAAGUCGUAACAAGGUAGC
rnacentral:rRNA from 1 species